UGUUCUGUGGCUUAUUUGGUAAAAGCGCCGAUCUAGCGAUACGGAGUCAUGGGUUUGAAUCCCACCAAAACAA
rfam:Aedes albopictus isolate Foshan contig48811, whole genome shotgun sequence.